rnacentral:rRNA from 1 species
UACGUAGGGUGCGAGCGAGUUGUCCGGAUUUAUUGGGCAUAAAGAGCUCGUAGGCGGUUUGUCGCGUCGGCCGUGAAAUCUCCACGCUUAACGUGGAGCGUGCGGUCGAUACGGGCAGACUUGAGUUCGGUAGGGGAGACUGGAAUUCCUGGUGUAGCGGUGAAAUGCGCAGAUAUCAGGAGGAACACCGGUGGCGAAGGCGGGUCUCUGGGCCGAUACUGACGCUGAGGAGCGAAAGCGUGGGGAGCGAACAGG